rnacentral:lncRNA from 10 species
GCUCCACCCAGUUCGAGCUUCCUGGCUGCUUUGUUUACCUAAGCAAGCCUGGGCAAUGGUGGGCGCCCCUCCCCCAGCCUGGCUGCUGCCUUGCAGUUUGAUCUCAGACUGCUGUGCUAGCAAUCAGCGAGACUCCGUGGGGUAGGACCCUCAGAGCCAGGUGCGGGGUAUAAUCUCGUGGUGCGCCGUUUUUUAAGCCCGUCGGAAAAGCGCAGUAUUCGGGUGGGAGUGACCCGAUUUUCCAGGUGCUGUCCGUCACCCCUUUCUUUGAUUAGGAAAGGAACUCCCUGACCCCUUGCGCUUCCCGAGUGAGGCAAUGCCUCGCCCUGCUUCGGCUCGCGCACGGUGCGCGCACCCACUGACCUGCGCCCACUGUCUGGCACUCCCUAGUGAGAUGAACCCGGUACCUCAGAUGGAAAUGCAGAAAUCACCCGUCUUCUGCGUCGCUCAGGCUGGGAGCUGUAGACUGGAGCUGUUCCUUUUCGGCCAUCUUGGCGCCUCCCUCAGCCCACAUGUGAAUCACAGCUUCUACUGCAUGCCCACUCCUUUUGCCUAAAUAUGCAGUUAUCAUCAUACAUCCAGAAUUGCCCUCUGUCCCGGGCUGCAUACAUCAUCAGAGGAGAAUGUUGAUCACCUGUUUCCAAGCCUUGGCAAGGCAAUUCAGGAUAAAUGUUCCAUAAG